UACGGGGGGAGCAAGCGUUGUUCGGAUUUACUGGGCGUAAAGGGCGCGUAGGCGGCGUGACAAGUCACUUGUGAAAUCUCCGGGCUUAACCCGGAACGGUCAAGUGAUACUGUCGUGCUAGAGUACAGAAGGGGCAACUGGAAUUCUCGGUGUAGCGGUGAAAUGCGCAGAUAUCAGGAGGAACACCGAUGGCGAAGGCAGGUCUCUGGGCAUUAACUGACGCUGAGGAGCGAAAGCAUGGGGAGCGAACAGG
rnacentral:rRNA from 1 species